rnacentral:rRNA from 1 species
GACAGAGGGUGCGAACGUUGUUCGGAAUUACUGGGCGUAAAGCGCAUGUAGGCGGCAGCGCAAGUCGGGCGUGAAAUCCCACGGCUCAACCGUGGAAGUGCACUCGAAACUGCAGAGCUAGAGUCCUGGAGAGGAAGGUGGAAUGCUUGGUGUAGAGGUGAAAUUCGUAGAUAUCAAGCGGAACACCGGUGGCGAAGGCGGCCUUCUGGACAGUGACUGACGCUGAGACGCGAAAGCGUGGGGAGCAAACAGG